rnacentral:rRNA from 1 species
AUGCCUAUCUCAAUGAUGAGAGACUGGUGCUUGUACGUGUUUGACAUGCAUCUGAAGAAACUGAACGUCCUCGACCCAGUUUUCACGCAGAUGGGUUCCGAUGCGUAUAGAGCUAAGCACAGGAAGACAAUCAUGUUGAUGCUUAAUGGUAUGAAGCGCGCAGGUGCGCUGUUAGACGAUGGAUGGAAGAUGGACAUAUCACAGAGGACCGUGAGGUACAACAUGAACAUGCAUGUUGCAUGUGGCAGUGGUGAGUCUCCUGGCUACAUAGCUUACUACACAGAGAACUUCAACGGGGCUCACCUGGAGGUGACGUACCGCAUGUUGGUCUGGCAGUUAGAAGGAAGAGGAUGUUGUACGAGACGAUGGCGGCAAAGGGAAACGCUGCACCACGCCCAGGAAUCAUGGAGCAGGUGGCUGAUCCAGAGUAGAUUACAACGCCUUGGUGGUGUACUCGUAGUUCUCUAG